rnacentral:rRNA from 1 species
UACGGGAGGCAGCAGUGGGGAAUAUUGGGCAAUGGGCGAAAGCCUGACCCAGCAACGCCGCGUGAAGGAAGAAGGUCUUCGGAUUGUAAACUUCUUUUAUGAGGGACGAAGGACGUGACGGUACCUCAUGAAUAAGCCACGGCUAACUCCGUGCCAGCAGCCGCGGUAAU